rnacentral:rRNA from 1 species
GGCGAAUGAAGCGGGAAAAGCUCAAGUUUGAAAUCCGGAGGGGCCGGAGUUGUAAGCUGAAGAAGGCUUCGACCGACCGGCCCGGCCCAAUUUCCUUGGAACAGGAGGUCAUGGAGGGUGAGAACCCUGUCCGUGCUCGGGGUCCGUCUGUGUCGUGCCCUCGAAGAGUCGGGUUGUUUGGGAAUGCAGCUCAAAAUGGGUGGUAAAUCUCACUAAGGCUAAACAUUGGCGAGAGACCGAUAGCAAACAAGUAGAGUGAUCGAGAGAUGAAAAGUACUUUGAAAAGAGAGUGAAACAGUACGUGAAAUUGUUGAAAGGAAGCGUUUGCAUCAGCCCAUGGCGCCCGUCGACAUCCGGGCCUAGCCCUGCACUUGUCGGCGUCGGGCCAGCGUCGGUCCGGCCGUGGAGAGGGUGUGGGGGRUGUGGUUCCUUGGGAGCGUAUAA